rnacentral:rRNA from 1 species
GAUGAACGCUGGCGGCGUGCCUAACACAUGCAAGUCGAGCGAAGAUAGAGACGAGUACUUGUACAAAUUUUUAUCUUAGCGGCGGACGGGUGAGUAACACGUGAGUAACCUGCCUUUCACUGGGGAAUAACAUCGAGAAAUCGGUGCUAAUACCGCAUAAUGUCACGAGGCUGCAUGGCCAUGUGACCAAAGGAGCAAUCCGGUGAUAGAUGGACUCGCGUCCGAUUAGAUAGUUGGUGAGGUAACGGCCCACCAAGUCAACGAUCGGUAGCCGAACUGAGAGGUUGAUCGGCCACAUUGGGACUGAGACACGGCCCAGACUCCUACGGGAGGCAGCGGUGGGGAAUAUUGGGCAAUGGGCGAAAGCCUGACCCAGCAACGCCGCGUGAAGGAAGAAGGUCUUCGGAUUGUAAACUUCUUUGAUCAGGGACGAAUAAAUGACGGUACCUGAAGAACAAGCCACGGCUAACUACGUGCCAGCCGCCGCCGUAAAAC